AAAGCGUGCGCAGGCGGUUAUGUAAGACAGAUGUGAAAUCCCCGGGCUCAACCUGGGAACUGCAUUAGUGACUGCAUAGCUGGAGUACGGCAGAGGGGGAUGGAAUUCCGGGUGUAGCAGUGAAAUGCGUAGAUAUGCGGAGGAACACCGAUGGCGAAGGCAAUCCCCUGGGCCUGUACUGACGCUCAUGCACGAAAGCGUGGGGAGCAAACAGGAUUAGAUACCCUUGU
rnacentral:rRNA from 1 species